AAAAAUAGUCUUAGUUCGGAUUGAAGUCUGCAACUCGACUUCAUGAAGUUGGAAUCGCUAGUAAUCGCGAAUCAGCAUGUCGCGGUGAAUACGUUCUCGGGGUUUGUACACACCGCCCGUCAAACCACGAAAGUGGACAAUACCCGAAAGCGAUAGCCUAACUGCGCAAGCAGAGGGAAUCGUCUAAGGUAGGGUCGAUGAUUGGGGUUAAGUCGUAACAAGGUAUCCCUACCGGAAGGUGGGGAUGGAUCACCUCCUUUCU
rnacentral:rRNA from 1 species